CUGGGCAAGCUGAUCCUGAAGGAGUCCCUACUCAUUGCAGGGGAGUUGGACUAGAUGACCUUUAGAAGGUCCCUUCCAACCCAAACUGUUCUAGUAUAUUUAUCAGAUAUGUUAGCCAAUGCCCAUAAGUGGAGGGGAAUAGGGAGGGAAGGACUGUGAGAAAACUCCCUUUCUCUAAAGUAUCUACCAGUGCUUUUUAGUCUACCUUACACCAGUGAAAACAGAAAUAGCUCCUGGAGGUGUGGAAUAGAGAUGUGGUCUUGGUCCCCAUGAGGGUUCACGUCUUCCACUCAUAUGAGUGCCUUGGAAAUGCUGCAGGACUGCAAGAGAGGCCCUUCCUGCCUCCAGGGAGAGGAGCUGUGUACUGUGGACAACAACAGGCUCCAGAGGAUGCUCUCUACUGCCUGGAGCAGGAAAGGAGACCUCCUGGUCAAUGGUGACAGUCUUUGUGAUGAUCAUGCGUAUCCAUGCUGUUCUUCCAGUGCUCCCAGGUUUAAUUGGUUCAAGUAGUAGAAAUUACCUUACCAGAACAAUGGCUUGUUUUCAGGUAUUGUGAGAAGCACACAGAGGAUGCUGCUGUUGCACGUCAUUGGAUAAUGCAUCUAAAUCUGGAAAGCUCAGAACUCAUUGACUGUGAAUCAUUCCUGGCUGUAUAAUACCAGCAGGCAUCGUAUUGUCAGAAAAUUAACUUUCCAUCAAAAAGCUUUAAGUGUUGCUUUGACAUAUAUAUCAAGAGAAAGUGUAUAUCAUCUGUCACUGGUGUCCCUUUCCAUUGAGUAG